rnacentral:tRNA from 1 species
GCAGUCGUGGCCGAGUGGUUAAGGCGAUGGGCUAGAAAUCCCCUUGGGGUCUCCCCGCACAGGUUCGAAUCCUGUCGUCUGCG